CGCCCCCCCCACGCAGGAGCUUCCCAGUGUGUGGGAGGCGGCGGCUGCCCCCAUCGCUCCGCUCCAGAGUGAACACCCAGGGCGCGGGGGGGGGGCGGCGGGGGGAGGGAGGCGCAGGCAGGCGCCAACCGCAGCGUUGGCAUCAUUCCGCUCCAGAGUGAACGAGAAGCUGCCCGGGCCAAGGACCCCUUCAACUAUGACUACGAGACGCUGCGGCUGGCGGGGCUGGUCCUGGCCAUCGCCAUGUUUGUCCUCGGGGUCCUCAUCGCCCUCAGUGAG